AUGGCAACCGCCAACGCCGACGCUGCCGAGGUCGAGCGGCUCUACGAGCUCGGCGACCGACUUUCCUCAGCCAAGGACAAGUCCCAGCACGCGGCGGACUAUGAGGCGAUCAUAGCGUCGGUGAAGGGGCAAAACGUUAAAGCGAAGCAGCUGGCGGCGCAGCUCAUCCCCCGUUACUUCCGGAGUUUCCCAGCCCUCGGUACCUUCGCCAUGGAAGCAAUGUUCGACCUCGUUGAGAUGGAAGAGCUCGCGAUCAGAAUACAAGCUAUUCGUGGGUUUCCGCUUCUUGGCAAAGAUGCAGAGUUCAUCUCAAAAAUUGCAGAUAUUCUUGGUCAGCUCCUUACAAGUGAGGAAAAUGUGGAGCGUGAUGCUGUUCAUAAAGCACUCAUGUCCCUUAUACGACAAGAUGUUAAAAGUUGUCCAAUGGCCAUUGGAAUUUUAUCUAUCCUUCUAUUUUUCAAGAUAAUUCAGAUUUGUUGGCGAAAAAGCGAAGAAAUAGAUUCGUUGCAGCCUUUAUUUAAGCACGUGGAGUCAGGAUCAGAGAUCCGUGAAAAGAUUAUUUGUUUCCUCCGAGACAAGGUUUUUCCUGUCAAAGCAGAGCUACUAAAGCCUCAAGCAGAAAUGGAAAGAUAUAUAACUGAUUUGAUAAAGAAAAGUGUACAAGAUGUUACUGGGCUGGAAUUUAAAUUAUUCAUGGAUUUCCUGCGGAGUUUGAGCAUAUUUGGGGAUACUGCUCCUCGAGAAUCCUUUCAAGAAUUAAUUGAAAUCAUUCAAGCACAAGCUGAUCUUGAUGCGCAGUUUGAUGUUUCUGAUAUCGAUCAUAUAGAGAGGUGGACCUCAUGCAUCUAUAUGGCUCUUCCUAUCUUCACGAGAGGUGCAUCAAGCAGCAAGUUUCUCAACUAUUUUGCUAAGCAAAUCGUUCCAGUUUUCGAUAAGAUUCCGGAGGAGAAGAAACUGGAUUUACUUAAGACAGUUGCUGCUAGCUCGCCAUAUGCUGUAGCACAAGAUUCACGCCAGCUGCUUCCAUCCGUUGUUCAAUUGCUCAAGAAGUAUAUGCCUGGGAAGAAGGUAGAUGAUAUUAAUCACAAUUAUGUCGAGUGCUUGCUAUACACUUUUCACCAUUUGGCUCAUAAGACACCAAACACUACAAACAGUCUCUGUGGUUACAAGAUCGUUACUGGACAGCCAUCAGAUAGACUUGGAGAGGAUUUCUCAGAACAUUACAAAGAUUUUAUUGAGAGGUUAACUGGAACGGAAGACACGGUUCGAGCAGCCUCGAAGAGACUAACCCAGGGAAUGGCAGAUUUCAACAAGGCAAUAUCUUCAGCAAAGACAGAAGAAGAGAAAACUAAAAUCAAAGCGGAUCAGCAAAAAUCGACGAUGACAAUGCGGUCCUAUAAUAAUAUAUUGGCAAUGUCACAGCCAUUGCAUGGGAAAUCUCCGUUAUUCAUUGGAGAUAAGAAAAUUACUCUAUCAUGGAUGGAACAACCAAAGAAACCAGCAGCUUCAACAGCUGGAGGGAAGAGGACCCAACCUGCUAGUAAUGGGAAUGCCCCUUUAAACAAGAAGGGGCGAGGAGAUGGAGGAAUGCACAAUCAGCUUGUGAACAGAGCUUUUGAGGGGUUACCCCGUGGUGGUGGUAGAGGCAGUGGAAGAGGGCGGGGCAGAGGAGGCCGAGGAAGAGGUUGGGGCUACCGCUGA
rnacentral:rRNA from 1 species